rnacentral:rRNA from 1 species
UACGGAGGGUGCAAGCGUUAUCCGGAUUCACUGGGUUUAAAGGGCGUGUAGGAGGGCAGGUAAGUCAGUGGUGAAAUCUCCGAGCUUAACUCGGAAACUGCCGUUGAUACUAUCUGUCUUGAAUACCGUGGAGGUGAGCGGAAUAUGUCAUGUAGCGGUGAAAUGCUUAGAUAUGACAUAGAACACCAAUUGCGAAGGCAGCUCACUACACGAGCAUUGACUCUGAGGCACGAAAGCGUGGGGAUCAAACAGG